rnacentral:misc_RNA from 1 species
GAAAUGCGAUAAUUAAUGUGAAUUGCAGAAUUCAGUGAAUCAUCGAGUCUUUGAACGCACAUUGCGCCCCCUGGUAUUCCGGGGGGCAUGACUGUCCGAGCGUCAUUGCUGCCCUCAAGCACGGCUUGUGUGUUGGGCUUCCGUCCCUGGCAACGGGGACGGGCCCAAAAGGCAGUGGCGGCACCAUGUCUGGUCCUCGAGCGUAUGGGGCUUUGUCACCCGCUCCCGUAGGUCCAGCUGGCAGCUAGCCUCGCAACCAAUCUUUUUAACCAGGUUGACCUCGGAUCAGGUAGGGAUACCCGCUGAACUUAAGC